UUUGAUCCUGGCUCAGGAUGAACGCUGGCGGCGUGUCUUAGGCAUGCAAGUCGAACGAACAUGUGUAGCAAUAUAUAUGUGAGUGGCAAACGGGUGCGUAACACAUUGGCAACCUGCCCCGAAGUUCGGAACAACUCCUCGAAAGGGGAGCUAAUACCGCGUAAGCCGCUUGAGGGGCCUAUGGUCCAUCAGCUAGUUGGUAGGGUAACGGCCUACCAAGGCUCCGACGGAUAGCGGGUGUGAGAGCACGACCCGCCUCACUGGGACUGAGACACUGCCCAGACUCCGAGGGAGCGACGCCGCGUGCAUCGGUGUGUCUUCGGGAGUGUAGGAAUAAGGGGCUCGUGCCCCCGAGCGUUAUAAGCGUUAAAAGGUGGCUUGGUAAGUAUCUCGUUCAAUCUCGGGGCUCCACCCCGAGGCCGCGGGGUAAACUGCCCGCUUGAAGGCGGAAAAAGGCAACCGGAACCACCGGGUGUAUGGUAAAAUGCGUUCAAACCCCUAGGAACACCUAUACGCCCAGCAUCCAUCCCCUAAACAAGAAGGCGCAGGAGUCGGGGAUUCCGACGCCCUCCAGCUCCGCCAGCAAACCGCGUACGCC
rnacentral:rRNA from 1 species